rnacentral:rRNA from 1 species
CCUGGUUGAUCCUGCCAGUAGUCAUAUGCUUGUCUCAAAGAUUAAGCCAUGCAUGUCUAAGUAUAAACAAAUUUGUACUGUGAAACUGCGAAUGGCUCAUUAAAUCAGUUAUAGUUUAUUUGAUGGUACCUUGCUACAUGGAUAACUGUGGUAAUUCUAGAGCUAAUACAUGCGUCAAAGCCGCGACUUCUGGAAGCGGUGUAUUUAUUAGAUAAAAAACCAACGUGGUUCGCCGCUCCCUUGGUGAUUCAUAAUAACUUCUUGAAUCGCAUGGCCUUGUGCCGGCGAUGCUUCAUUCAAAUAUCUGCCCUAUCAAGUUUAGAUGGUAGGAUAGAGGCCUACCAUGCUUUCAACGGGUAAUGGGGAAUAAGGGUUCGAUUCCGGAGAGGGAGCCUGAGAAACGGCUACCACAUCCAAGGAAGGCAGCAGGUGCGCAAAUUACCCAAUCCCGACACGGGGGGGUAGUGACAAUAAAUAACAAUAUGGGGCUCUUUCGGGUCCCAUAAUUGGAAUGAGUACAAUUUAAAUCCCUUAACGAGGAAAAAUUGGAGGGCAAGUCUGGUGCCAGCAGCCGCGGUAAUUCCAGCUCCAAUAGCGUAUAUUAAAGUUGUUGCCGUUAAAAAGCUCGUAGUUGAACUUCCACGGGCAUGACUCGACUCCUUGCGACUCCUGCUUGCACUAGCUGCAACUUUUUUGACUGGGAGGUUCAUUAAGUUGACAUCAAAUCGGCCUACCUGAAUGGUCACCUAGAUGAAGAAAUCUACAUGGAUCAACCAAAGGGUUUUUUGGUUCAUGGGGCAGAAAACAAGGUCUGCCGACUACUCAAAGCCAUCUAUGGCUUGAAGCAAGCAGGGCGCCAGUGGCAUGAACACCUACAGAAUAGCCUCUGCAAUUUUGGUUACAGGAAGCUGAUCUCAGGAGAUGUCUCUAUUUUCUUCAAAUGUCAUGACAGAGUGGAUCAAAUUGCCAUAAUUCUGGUUUAUGUCAAUGAUAUUGCUAUUUUUGGCACACUGCAACACAUCCAAGACACUAAGAAGUUCAUAGGUUCACAGUAUAAGUACACAGACCUAGGAGAGAUCCAACACUUCCUCGGCCUACACAUAACCUGCAGCCGAGCAAAGAAAACAUUCUCCAUCAACCAGAUGCA